rnacentral:rRNA from 1 species
GCCUAAUACAUGCAAGUCGAGCGGACNGAGGGAGCUUGCUCCCUGAAGUCAGCGGCGGACGGGUGAGUAACACGUGGGCAACCUGCCUGUAAGACUGGGAUAACUCCGGGAAACCGGGGCUAAUACCGGAUAAUUCUUUCCCUCACAUGAGGGAAAGCUGAAAGAUGGUUUCGGCUAUCACUUACAGAUGGGCCCGCGGCGCAUUAGCUAGUUGGUGAGGUAACGGCUCACCAAGGCSACGAUGCGUAGCCGACCUGAGAGGGUGAUCGGCCACACUGGGACUGAGACACGGCCCANACUCCUACGGGAGGCAGCAGUNGGGAAUCUUCCGCAAUGGACGAAAGUCUGACNGAGCAACGCCGCGUGAGUGAUGAAGGUUUUCGGAUCGUAAAACUCUGUUGUUAGGGAAGAACAAGUACCGGAGUAACUGCCGGUACCUUGACGGUACCUAACCAGAAAGCCACGGCUAACUACGUGCCAGCAGCCGCGGUAAUACGUAGGUGGCAAGCGUUGUCCGGAAUUAUUGGGCGUAAAGCGCGCGCAGGCGGUUCCUUAANUCUGAUGUGAAAGCCCCCGGCUCACCGGGGAGGGUCAUUGGAAACUGGGGAACUUGAGUGCAGAAAGAGAAGAGUGGAAUUCCMCGUGUGCGGUGAAAUGCGUAGAGAUGUGGAGGAACACC